GACGAACGCUGGCGGCGUGCUUAACACAUGCAAGUCGAACGGAAAGGCCCUGCUUUUGUGGGGUGCUCGAGUGGCGAACGGGUGAGUAACACGUGAGUAACCUGCCCUUGACUUUGGGAUAACUUCAGGAAACUGGGGCUAAUACCGGAUAGGAGCUCCUGCUGCAUGGUGGGGGUUGGAAAGUUUCGGCGGUUGGGGAUGGACUCGCGGCUUAUCAGCUUGUUGGUGGGGUAGUGGCUUACCAAGGCUUUGACGGGUAGCCGGCCUGAGAGGGUGGACGGCCACAUUGGGACUGAGAUACGGACCAGACUCGUACGGGAGGCAGCAGUGGGGAAUAUUGCACAAUGGGCGGAAGCGUGAUGCAGCAACGCCGCGUGCGGGAUGACGGCCUUCGGGUUGUAAACCGCUUUCGAAUGUGACGAAGCGUGAGUGACGGUAAUGGGUAAAGAAGCACCGGCUAACUACGUG
rnacentral:rRNA from 1 species